GAAGAACGCGGGCGGCGUGCUUAACACAUGCAAGUCGAACGGAAAGGCCCUGCUUUUGUGGGGUGCUCGAGUGGCGAACGGGUGAGUAACACGUGAGUAACCUGCCCUUGACUUUGGGGUAACUUCAGGAAACUGGGGCUAAUACCGGAUAGGAGCUCCUGCUGCAUGGUGGGGGUUGGAAAGUUUCGGCGGUUGGGGAUGGACUCGCGGCUUAUCAGCUUGUUGGUGGGGUAGUGGCUUACCAAGGCUUUGACGGGUAGCCGGCCUGAGAGGGUGACCGGCCACAUUGGGACUGAGAUACGGCCCAGACUCCUACGGGAGGCAGCAGUGGGGAAUAUUGCACAAUGGGCGGAAGCCUGAUGCAGCAACGCCGCGUGCGGGAUGACGGCCUUCGGGUUGUAAACCGCUUUCGCCUGUGACGAAGCGUGAGUGACGGUAAUGGGUAAAGAAGCACCGGCUAACUACGUG
rnacentral:rRNA from 1 species